GGAAUCCUACGGGAGGCAGCAGUAGGGAAUAUUGCUCAAUGGGGGAAACCCUGAAGCAGCAACGCCGCGUGGAGGAUGAAGGUUUUCGGAUUGUAAACUCCUUUUGUUAGAGAAGAUAAUGACGGUAUCUAACGAAUAAGCACCGGCUAACUCCGUGCCAGCAGCCGCGGUAAUACGGAGGGUGCAAGCGUUACUCGGAAUCACUGGGCGUAAAGAGCGCGCAGGCGGGAUAGCAAGUCAGAUGUGAAAUACUAUGGCUUAACCAU
rnacentral:rRNA from 1 species